rnacentral:rRNA from 1 species
GAUGAACGCUGGCGGCGUGCCUAAUACAUGCAAGUCGAGCGAACGGACGAGAAGCUUGCUUCUCUGGUGUUAGCGGCGGACGGGUGAGUAACACGUGGAUAACCUACCUAUAAGACUGGGAUAACUUCGGGAAACCGGAGCUAAUACCGGAUAAUAUUUUGAACCGCAUGGUUCAAAAGUGAAAGACGGUCUUGCUGUCACUUAUAGAUGGAUCCGCGCUGCAUUAGCUAGUUGGUAAGGUAACGGCUUACCAAGGCAACGAUGCAUAGCCGACCUGAGAGGGUGAUCGGCCACACUGGAACUGAGACACGGUCCAGACUCCUACGGGAGGCAGCAGUAGGGAAUCUUCCGCAAUGGGCGAAAGCCUGACGGAGCAACGCCGCGUGAGUGAUGAAGGUCUUCGGAUCGUAAAACGCUGUUAUUAGGGAAGAACAUAUGUGUAAGUAACUGUGCACAUCUUGACGGUACCGAAUCAGAAAGCCACGGCUAACUACGU